AGGGAGGAUACAGAAUUAGCAUGGAUCGUUGAAUGCUGAUCUGAAUGCUAACAGCUGAAAACAGGCCCCCAUGGAAACCCAGGAUUGUGCUCCACUGGAAAGCAUGGCCCACUCACAGUCUCCCAGGAGGCCCAUAGGUCAAUCUUAAACCACAAGUCAGUCAACCUCUCCCAAUGGCCUGUGCUGGCUGGGAGGAUGCCCAGAGGCUACAUCCUGCUCUGAACAGGAGCCCACGAGUCCAGAGUCUUCUCCAAUCAGAGAUGUUCUGCCCUCAGUGGCCGAAUGUGGCCGCUGUCACUGAGAGGUCACAGCAGGCCUAGAUAAGCACACAGGGCUCAGAUCAGACAGACGGCAGCCUUCUUGGAGCUCCGAGGACAUGGAGUCCCACAUUGAUUUCGCCACCGCGGUAAUGGCAGUUGGGGGAGGGAGCUAACAGCUCCUACGGCCUCUCCCCGGGUCUCUGUUCGGCACUUACGGUCCUUAACACACUGAAUUGUGAAGUAAAGAAAGAGGAAACAAGUAGCUGGGGGAGCACUAGGAAAAUGUUUACCCCAGCUUGGUGCGGCAGGUAAAAAAGCCUUGCUCACAGUGUCGUUCUGUUGAUCGCUCAGACGGGCCCUGGGGAACCCAGUGCUCCCACUAACCACAGCUCGGCGCUGGCUAGAAACGUGAGUGGCACUCAUCCCCCUGCUGAGAGUGCUCCCACCAGCCAGACCGCCAAGCUCAAGGGCCGCUAGACAGACCCUGGAGGAAGAAGGUGGGAGACUGGGUACCAGAUCCCGAUGAAGUCCUGGACUCGGGAAGCGGCCAAGUGAGUCUUUUGUGAACGUGAACUUCAAGAGAGCAUCAUGGAGAACCUGUUCCCUGUCGGGUGGAACAGAGGUGGCGGGUGGAAAGAGCCUCAACUAUGCUCUUACGGUGACCCACAGAGGAAUGCCGCUCCUGCCGCUGAGACCCUGUCUUGGGGGUGACUGCAUUUUCCAAAACAACUCGGACCCACGUCCUGCUUUUUUUUCUCCAGAUAUGCAGGUGAGACUCAAGCAGCCUGCGACCUCCUCAUCAGUGAGGUUCUCUGCAGAGGGGCCAUCAGCAGCCCUGAUAAAAUGUAACCAGAGGCACCUGGAGCCACCCAAGCCCGCACCGAGGCGGGACGGACACUAGAGGGCGCAGCCCAGCAGAGUCCCUAGGCCGUAGCUGAUACCCGUCUCCAUCUCUAAACCAGGAAGGAAAGUGGGAGCCACGAGGAGAUGGAGAGGAACUGAACCAUCAGGCAAAUGCAUGGUGGUGGAACUGGCUGGACCUUUACUAUGAAUGAUGGAGUCACUGAGAAACAGCUGUUAGGAGGAGUCCGCGGAGCACCCGGGCGGACUGGGUAGGAUGUCCCCCUGGAACGCACUAUUCUUACAAGAUUGUGGUGAGUUCACUUAUCCAUCCACUUCUCCCCCUGCUGUUUGCACUGUUACCAGGUGUGCAUGGGUUUGGCCUGAGGACGUGCAAGGGGCAUGGCCAUAACCUUGGGCAGCUGGGGAGAAAGGAGGCUGACUGAUGUCCAGGGGAAGAGGAUGGGCAGAGGGAGCCACAGGGUGCUCAGAGGCAAGUAGCUAUGAAAGUGCGAGAGCAUGGGAAUGUGUUAGUUACCUGGGGUGCAUCAACCUGGGGGGGAGAUUCAUGGGGUCAGACUCAGGGUUUUCUCCUGGGGUACAGGAGCCCCCCACAGCAGGUAAUUUUUCAAGAGCUCGAAGACUCAGGUUUGGGGACCAAAAGUCUCUGUUUCUGCUUGGGGCCUGUCCUCCCUCCAGGAGCACAAAGGGGGAUGAGGCAUGACUCACAGUCGACAGUACUACUCAACAGAACAGGCACAGAACAGCACGGAACAGUCUAGAACAGUACAGAACAACCUGAGAGGGGCAAGGUACCCCUGUGAUAGGUGGUCCCCAAUGGAGCUUGUAGAUUGGAGGCGGCAAGCAUAGUUUUUAAGAUCAGAAGAAAACCUCCAGGGAAUCACCUCAGGAGCUAUUUGACUCAUGUCUAAUGUCUUGGGAAGAAAUAAAAUCAAUAUCACAGGACCCGGAGCCUCACAGCCAUGCACAACCCUGUCUGUGAAGCCCCAGUGACAGGCACUGACUGAAGACCUCCUCUGUGAAAUCCCAGAGCAAAGCAAGGGGAAUGCACAGCUGUGCGAAAUGCUCCCUGUUGGUCGCACAGGAGAGGCCCUCUCCUCCUACAUGGAGCCUACGCCUGUUCUGCCUGGUCACCUCCAGGCAGGUGGUGGGCAGAGGGUGAGGUUCAAGAUGAACCCAUUGUCCAUCAUACCCCCCACCCUCCAGGGCGCAAGGCUGGGUUCCAGUUCCCCAGGGCACAGCUGGGACUGAUCUCAUGACCAAUUAACAUACAACCAAACACAGGAAGGCCGUGGCAAUUGUUUCAAGGGAGGAAGGAAGUCCGGGAGGGAGGGAACAGGCUGCCCCUGAAGACUCAGGCACUGAUGGUGCCUCUGUGGCCCACAAGCAUAGUCCCCACCCGCCCAUGCUUCUGCACCAGUCACCCAUGUAUGGUCUGGUUCAGCCUGUGCCCCCCCAUCCCCCACUAGCCCCUGCCUCCUCUUUAUAACAGGAUCUCACUUGUCCCAGACAGGCCUCCAAUAUGCUAUAUAGCUGAAGAUGACCUUGAGUUUCUGAUCCUCCUGCCUCCACCUCUUAAGUGUAGGACUACAGGCCUGUGCAGGUUCAUGCUAGGGAUGGAGCCCAGAGCUUCAUGCAUGCUACGCAAACACUCUACCAACUGAGCUAUAACCCCAGAACACCCUUUCUGAGCCAUAGUCUUAACUCUAGCCCAAGAGUGGGCUUCCUGGAGAUCCCAGCAACUGCCACCAGGCAAACGUUUACACGUCUCCUGUGUUCUCGGUAUUUCUGUUAGGAUUCUGCCGCCACUCCAGCUCCAUGACCGCACAUGUGCGGUUCAGCAGCUAAGCAAGGGGUCUUACGUCUUGUGUCAUCAGCGCGGUCACGCAAUCAGCACAUGCGUGGCGUGAGCCUAAUGAGCAUGUGCAUGGGAAUCCUUCAAAAGCGGGACACAGACGACUCCUCUCUGUUCUUUCUGCCCCCACUAUCUCUAGCUCUCUCUCUCUCUCUGUUCUCUGCACAUGCUU